rnacentral:rRNA from 1 species
UACGUAGGGUGCGAGCGUUAAUCGGAAUUACUGGGCGUAAAGUGUGCGCAGGCGGCGCCGCAAGUCGAGUGUGAAAGCCCCGAGCUUAACUUGGGAAUUGCGCUCGAAACUAUGGUGCUGGAGUGUGGCAGAGGAAGGUGGAAUUCCACGUGUAGCGGUGAAAUGCGUAGAUAUUCGCAAGAACACCAGUGGCGAAGGCGGCUCACUGGCCCGGUACUGACGCUGAGGUGCGAAAGCGUGGGGAGCAAACAGG